CACCAGCUCCCAGAGCGUCUUCCGGCGGGAGCGGUGCCGCUCCUUACCAUGGGGACAAUUCAUCUCUUUCGAAAACCACAAAGAUCUUUUUUUGGAAAGUUAUUACAGGAAUUUGGACUUGUAGCAGCUGACAGAAGGUCCUGGAAGAUAUUGCUCUUUGGUGCAAUAAACUUAACAUGUACUGGCUUCCUGCUUAUGUGGUGCAGUUCCACUAAUAGUAUAGCUUUAACUGCCUAUACUUACCUGACCAUUUUUGAUCUAUUUAGUUUAAUGACAUGUUUAAUAAGUUACUGGGUAAUGAUGAGGAAACCCAGCCCUGUCUAUUCAUUUGGAUUUGAAAGAUUAGAAGUCCUGGCUGUGUUUGCCUCCACAGUCUUGGCACAGUUGGGAGCUCUCUUUAUAUUAAAAGAAAGUGUAGAACGCUUUUUGGAGCAGCCCGAGAUACACACGGGAAGAUUAUUAGUUGGUACUUUUGUGGCUCUUUCAUUCAACCUAUUCACGAUGCUUUCUAUUCGGAAUAAACCUUUUGCUUAUGUCUCAGAAGCUGCCAGUACAAGUUGGCUUCAAGAGCAUGUUGCAGAUCUUAGUCGAAGCGUGUGUGGAAUUAUUCCAGGACUUAGCAGUGUCUUCCUUCCCCGAAUGAAUCCAUUUGUUUUGAUUGAUCUUGCAGGAGCAUUUGCUCUUUGUAUUACGUAUAUGCUAAUUGAAAUUAAUAAUUAUUUUGCUGUAGACACUGCCUCUGCCAUAGCAAUUGCUCUGAUGACAUUUGGCACUAUGUAUCCCAUGAGCGUGUACAGUGGAAAAGUAUUACUCCAGACAACGCCACCCCAUGUUAUUGGUCAGUUGGACAAACUUCUCAGAGAGGUAUCCACCUUGGAUGGAGUUUUGGAAGUACGAAAUGAGCAUUUUUGGACCCUAGGUUUUGGCUCAUUGGCUGGAUCAGUGCAUGUAAGAAUUCGCCGAGAUGCAAAUGAACAAAUGGUUCUUGCUCAUGUGACCAACAGGCUGUACACUCUAGUGUCUACGCUGACUGUUCAAAUUUUCAAGGAUGACUGGAUAAGGCCCUCUUUACCAUCGGGGCCUGUUGCAGCCAAUGUCCUAAAUUUUUCAGAUCAUCACAUAAUACCCAUGCCUCCUUUAAAGGGCAUUGAUGAGUCGAACCCUGUCACAUCAACUCCAACUAAACCUAGUAGUCCACCUCCAGAAUUUUCAUUUAACACUCCUGGAAAAAAUGUGAACCCGGUUAUUCUUCUAAACACACAAACAAGACCUUAUGGUUUGGGACUUAAUCAUGGACACAUACCUUAUAGCAGCAUGGUUAAUCAAGGACUUGGAUUUCCAGGAAUUGGAGCAACCCAAGGAUUCAGGACUGGUUUUACAAAUAUACCAAGUAGAUAUGGAACUAACAAUAGAACUGGACAACCAAGACCAUGACAUACUGUGAUUUAAUUUAUUUUAUGAGGAAUAUUGACUCCUUGACUUCCAAUUUACUUAGUAAUCCAACUUUGCAUUGACUGUUCAAUCAUUUGUUGUAAAUGUUAGAGAAUAGUAGGCUAGGUCACAUUAUAUGAAACCAAUGAAACUAUAUUUUUAUAAGAUACAGUUAGAAUAGUGAAAAACUUCUAAAUGUUGUAGGCUUUAAAUAGGCUUCCUUUAGAAAGUGUAUUUCUCUAAAUUUGAAUUUUUGGUUUUGAAGUUGACUACAGUGUGAUAAGAGAUUACCUUUACAAGAGAACCAUUUGAUGGAGUAGAUCUGUCACAUUAUAUUGUCUUCAGUGAAAUUUAUAAACCUGCGUCUUGAAUAAUGAUACACAUUUUAAGAAAGGAUAAAAAUAUCCAUCCUAAAAGUAAAAAAGUCCUCUUUUAUGGCUUUUCCAAACUUAAUUGCUACAUUUUCCUUUGAGGUCCUCUGAAUUAUGUCUUGCAAAGUAAAAGCAAACAUUUUUAUCAGAAAUUUUAGAAUAUAUUCUACUACCUAUUUUUUGUUUUUUUAAUAUAUUUUUAUUGAUUUCAGAGAGGGAGAGAGAGUUAGUCAGUGAUGAGAGAAUCAUCGAUUGGCCGUCUCCUGCACUGGGGAUCGAGCCCACAAUCCGGGCAUGUGCCCCUGACUGGAAUCGAACCUGGGACCUGCAUUCUGCAGGUUGACACUCUAUCCACUGAGCCAAACUGGCUAGGGCAUACUACCUAAUUGUUGUCAUUUAAAAAUUUCAGUACAUUUGUAAAUAGUCCAUGGUUCUCAAAGUGUUUUAUUCUGGUUAAUAAGUACCAAAUCCUUUGGUGAUGUGCAAUAAAGGAAUUCCAGUUUUCUCUCUUACACAUAAUCAGAUUCUGACAUAAUGAUGGAAUUUAUCUUUUUUGUAACUUUCAUUGGUUGACUUAAUUUCUUAUUUUUUAAAAACAUAUCAAAUACGUUACCAAAAUAUAUGGAAUUCAACAUACGUUAUAAUACGGGAUUUGAUAUCUUUUCAAAGUUGCAGUUUGAGAUUAUAUUAUAAAUUUUUACCAAAAGAUAAUGGAUCUUAGAUUAUAGAGUACAGUAUUUUCAGACUUGCUACAGGCAGUUUUUAACUUGUUUUGAUUACUUUCCAAGUGCAAAUGUUAAGAACUUUCUAAUGUGGCCAAUAUUACAUAUAAAAAAAUAUAACAAGCAGCAAUUACCUGAGGUUUUCUCAUUAUAUCAUGAGUUUUAUGGUUAGGGUUUUAAAAAGGGAUUUUAAGAGUGGAUUCAACUUUUCUGGAAUCCAGUGACUCCUGGAUAUUUGUCACUUUUCCAGCCAUCACCCAGCUAUCUAGAGAAGAUUUCUGUUCCUGUAGAAUUUGCAACAGUUUCUUCAAUCAACUCAUCCUCUUUUAAAUAUGAGCAACACCUAUUUCUUCACUGUGGAAUAACAGACAUCUAAGAAGCCAUCUCUAUCACAAGUAGUUAAUCCUGUGAUAAUGCAUGACCAUGUCCUAAAUACCCUUUGCUUGCUGAGGAGUUGGUCAUUGUCUUGGCAUCUGUGACCCUGUUCAGGCAUUUUACCUACUGAAGAAAUAGAGUCCACACUACUUCGACUGUUGGUGAAAAGGAAACUUUGUCAAAUGUAAUAAGGCAACCUGUUUCUUGUCCUUUGUCUUAUGUUCUCCAACUAUUACUAUUGCCUGUUAUUGGUCUACCAUUACAGGGUGGUUUUUCUUCCAUUGAUCUCAUCUAAAUGUGAAUUCGGGUCUUGCAUGAAAUCUGAAGAACUGCCAUGUACUGAGGGAUGGUUCAGAUGUAUGUGCUGCCACCAUAUGCACAUCUCCAUCCCUAUGGGAUUUUCAAAGUGUCCAGGUGCUGAACACAGCUGUGUGUGAGAUUAAAUGCCUACUUCCUCAACACCCACUCAGGAGCAACAUCUUUGCAGUUGUCCUACCGAAGGUGCUUUCAUGCCAGCCUACACUAUUUGAGAAGUUGCCCGUGGGUUCUGAAGGAAUUGGCUCUACUUGCUGAACUUCAGUACUGCCAACUGCUAUAGGUGACUUUGGUCCUUGCAUUAUUAUAUAACGUCUCAUUUGCCAAGCUCUGGCUAGCUUCCGGAUAUGAAAUCAAGAAAUUUGGCCAGCAUAGGCCUUUAGACAGUAGCCUUACUGUAAAUCUUGCCAAGGAGUUACUUGAAGCUUAAAAGAAAAAAAAAAAGGAAGUUCAAAAUAAAUACUUGCCCCAUGGUUUGUGAUUUAAGAGCAAGCUUCAUGGAGUAUGAUGAACCCUGUUUGAGAAAUCACUGUUUGUAAUGGAAAAAACAUUGGACUGGAGGACAAGAAUUGGAUUCCAAAACUGAUACUGCCACUAUGAAAUGGAAGAUUGCUUAAAAAUUGAAGUGCGAAAGAUGCUAUUCAAUAGCAGACCUUGGAGAUGCUGCGGGUGUGGUUCUCUUAGGGGCAGAAAUAGAAUAGUGGAGACUAGCUAUAAUUAUAAGAAAUAUUAAUCACGCUCUGUUAACCGUGAUGGCUCUGUUCUGAUUAGGGAAAGCACAUUCUAACCCGGCUGAGAGUUGUACGCCCCAGGACAUGGGAAUUAACAUCGGAAUGCAGUCCAUUCUCCUUUUCCAAGAACCACCUAUCAUCCUGGAAAGAUCAGCAACCUUGUUGCUGAAGCAAUCUGGUCCCUUUGCAACCCCCACCCCUCAUUGCCCGUAACCUUGCCUACUUCCCCAUGCUUCUAAUUCCUACUCUCCUAUGUAAUCUUUGUCCUUCUA